CUCCCUCCAAGCCCACAUUUGGUGGUUUGGGCUAUAAGAAAGGAGAUUCUGCAGACAAGGAGUCUGGCAGCUGGAAAGGUCUAGGAGAAUGGGAGAAGCAUUGGGGGGAAACUUAUGCUGGGAAAAGGCAGCCUGCACUUUUUGUCAUCAAUAUUGAGAGUGGCGAAGUGCAUGCUGUUGAAGGAAUUAGCAAAUCCUUGAGUAUAGGACAAGUUAUAUGGGCUCCAUUGGCUGAAGGCUUCUCUCAAUAUUUGGUUUUUGUUGGGUGGUCAUCAGAGACAAGGAAGCUUGGCAUUAAGUAUUGCUACAAUCGGCCCUGUGCCUUGUAUGCAGUCAAGGCUCCAUUUUGUGAAUCAAAAGCCAACGAACUUCAGUCCAACAGCAAUGUAAAUGAAGAUUCAACUGUGGUUAAUCUAACUCAAAGCAUUAGUAAUGCUUUCUUUCCAAGGUUCAGCCCAGC